rnacentral:rRNA from 1 species
AUGAUUUACGUUAAAGCAAGAUCAAGCACCCUUAGUUUGCCAAACUCGAAUCCAAAUCUCCAUGGGUUUCUGCUCCAAACCCUAUCAGCACCUAAAUCAUCAAUGGUUUGCUGCUUCUAUAGAAGAAAUGGCUUCCGGGGGGUGAAAGGAAGGAGAAAGAACAAAGGGAUAGAGAGAUGGUGGAAAAGAAAGGAAAGAGAUAGAGCUGGUUGGUUAUACGCAUCAUCAUCAGUCAUGGUUUCAUUAGAUAGCGCUCCCUGCCCAAGGUUGGUGGCGGCAGAUCAAAAAGGGAAAGAGGACUGA